AUUGAACGCUGGCGGCAUGCUUUACACAUGCAAGUCGAACGGCAGCGGGGACUUCGGUCCGCCAGCGAGUGGCGAACGGGUGAGUAAUGCAUCGGAACGUGCCUAUCAGUGGGGGAUAACGCUUCGAAAGGAGUGCUAAUACCGCAUAUUCUCCGAGGAGAAAAGCAGGGGACCUUCGGGCCUUGCGCUGAUAGAGCGGCCGAUGUCGGAUUAGCUAGUUGGUGAGGUAAAGGCUCACCAAGGCGACGAUCCGUAGCGGGUCUGAGAGGAUGAUCCGCCACACUGGGACUGAGACACGGCCCAGACUCCUACGGGAGGCAGCAGUGGGGAAUUUUGGACAAUGGGCGAAAGCCUGAUCCAGCCAUGCCGCGUGAGUGAAGAAGGCCUUCGGGUUGUAAAGCUCUUUUGUCCGGGAGGAAAUCCUGGCCUCUAAUACAGGUCGGGGAUGACAGUACUGGAAGAAUAAGCACCGGCUAACUACGUGCCAGCAGCCGCAGUAAAAC
rnacentral:rRNA from 1 species